rnacentral:lncRNA from 1 species
CCCUAGCAAAAGCGACUCCCACUUUGACUUCGCGCAGUUCCUUCACCUUGGCCAACCUCAUUCUACGACCUGAGCUCGUUCUCCCACCCGACCUCGUCCCUCAACGACCCGAGCCACCUUCAGCUCCUUCACCGACCCAGAACUACCUCGAUCGACCACGACCACGAACUCCUUCAGCGAGCUCCUCCGACCUCGUUCUACGACCUGAGCUCGUUCUCCGACCCGACCUCGUCCUUCAACGAUCCGAUCCACCUUCAGCUCCUUCACCGACCCAGAACAACCUCGAUCGACCACGACCACGAACUCCUUUAGUGAGCUCCUUCAAUGACCUGACCACGAACUCAUUCUCCCACCUGAGCUUGUCAUUGUCCGACCUGAGCCGGUUCGAGGUAGUUCUCCGAUCACCACCAUCGU